rnacentral:rRNA from 1 species
GACAGAGGGUGCAAACGUUGUUCGGAAUUACUGGGCGUAAAGCGUGUGUAGGCGGCCACGUAAGUCGGGAUGUGAAAGCCCCAGGCUCAACCUGGGAAGUGCACUCGAUACUGCGUGGCUUGAGUAUCGGAGAGGUUGGUGGAAUUCUCGGUGUAGAGGUGAAAUUCGUAGAUAUCGAGAGGAACACCGGUGGCGAAGGCGGCCAACUGGACGAAUACUGACGCUGGAGGCGCGGAAAGCGUGGGGGAGCAAACAGG